CUGAGGGAGACGGCAGCCUCAGCCUGCCAGGACCAAUCAAGCUGCAUGAAGCUUCUCUCUCUCUCUCUCUCUCUCUCUCUGUGUGUGUGUGUGUGUGUAUGUGUAUAUCUGUCUAUCUAUCUACACACAUACACACACAUUUUUUUUUGAAACAACAGGGCAAGAUACACACUCCAGCUGAUACACAGAAUCAGAGGUGACCACAGUAUGUUGACAAAGGACAAAUUUGUCAUCGUCAACAGAUCUCCACAUAUCCUGAAGGACUGAAUCUGCUCACUUAACUUGAUUUCAGCGCUAUAGGCCUGAGUGGUUUGUAACUGAUCUCCCUGUCAAUAUAUAAAAAUGGUGUGAGCCUUGUGGUAGGUCAACUCCGAAUAUUAAGGCAGGAUGGUGCACAUGAUCUCAGACUCAUCAUCCAAAGCUUUUGUUGGGAUUCACUGAUAAAGGCUCCUUUUCCUAGUCUGCUGCUUGUGAAAAGAGUAUUUCCAUCCUGAGAGUAUUGCUGCCCUAAGCAGCACUUGGGUUCAGCCACAGGGUUCAGCCGCCUUCCAUCCUAUCCAAAUGGGCAUUCUCAGGGUGAUUUUCCAAAAACGUGUCCAUGAAAAACAGGCCUCUGAAAGCUAUGCAAUAUGUUUGCUUUGGUGUGUGUGUGUUUGUGUUUGUUUGUUUUAAAUUUGCUUACAUUUUCUAGCACAGGUUUGGCACUGGAUUAGAAUUUGAUCUUCGCUCUGCAGCUCCUCUGCCAUAUAUGACCUUGGGUAUCCCAUCUGAUUGGGUGUUGUCAUUCUCUUGGCUUGCUUUGAUUUGAGCUCCUGCAGCACCUAGCACAAAAAGAGGUUGGUCAAUUAUCUGGCUUCUGCUCACCCGUGGGGUAGCUGCAGCGAACGAGAUGCUCAGAGACUUUGUAGACAGAUGGCUGGGUUAUAAUUUUUAAACAAGGCAGUAUCCUUGCCAUAGGCCAUUCAUUAAAAUGAAGCGAUGAAUAAUACAUAAGUCGCCACAUCUUUCUUAGAGAGGGGCCUGAUGUGAUGAACUCAUUUCUCUAGCUUUAUGCUUUCCUUAUCAACUUAUCUUGGCAGCAUAGAAAAGAAAACACACAUAUAAGUUUCCUAAUAUAGUUGUUCAAAAGGAAAUUAAUUUAUGCAUUUAUUCCAUUUAUUUAACAUUGUCUGUCCUGCACAGAGCUUUGAGUGGCAUAUUUGGGAGUCAUUCCACACACCCCUUCCAUAUUUUAUCCUUGCAGCAGCCCUUUGAGAUAGGUUAGGGUGAAAUGGUAACUUAUCCAAGAUCACUAAUUGACUAUUAUGGUUGAGUGGGGAUUUGAAUCCAGGUCUUCCUAAUCUGUAUCUGGCAUUGUGGCCCAGGUUUCUUCUUCUGAGCUGUUGAGGCACUUCUAUGUUUCUAGCCAUGUAUUUCUUCCUCCUUUAGGAUUAUUACCCCAUAAAAACCAAGAAAUACAGCUUCCUCCACCGGUUUGUCUCUGGGCUAAAAAAAGUGUAGUCUACUGAAUUUAGUUCUAUACUGUAUCUGUUAAUAUAUGAAACUUUGAAAGUGCAAUGUACAGUAAGACUAAGGAGACUUGCAUAUGUUUUUACAAAAACGAACCACUGCUACUUGAAGAUCCCAUGAAUCUGUGUAAUCCAGUGAAUGAAAUGGUUUGUGUACAUUUGGGUUUCCAGUGCAUGUCCAAGCAUAGGCUUCCUAGGUGUGAUUGCUGGUAGGGUACUAUCCCUUGGUCCCAAUUUCUCAUCUGUGAAAUGUGAAUAACAGCAACCUUCACCUCUCAGGACUGCAGAAGAACUAAAUAUUCAAGACCGUAAAGCAGGGUCUCCUGCUGUUGCUGGACUACAACUCCCGUCUUCCCUAGCUAGCAGGAGCAGUGGUCAGGGAUGAUGGGAAUUGUAGUCCAAAAACAGCUAGGGACCCAAGUUUGGGAAACCAUGCUGUACAGUAUUUCCCAUGCUGCUACCACAAUCCUAAAUAUGCUGUUCUUUGCAUUAAUGGAGAAAGUGUGCUAAGGAACGAAGUGCUGUGUGAAUAGUUACUAAUAGAUCUGAACCAGCAUAAUCAAACAGAGAGUAGGGAUCAAUCUAGACACUGUUUUGCUUAUUUGAAAAAUGCUUUCCUAAGGCAACCCCCCUCCCUACACAACCACACACAAAGCAAAGCUAUAAAAGUAAAGUUAAUUACAAAUGUGAUUGCUCCAAUGGCAAAGUUGCCAGUUUAGUGCCUUCCUUGCUUGCCAGUUUAGAAAGUGAUCUUACAACGGUGGGUUCAUUUGCUUGCAUAUUCCGGGAUUUUGUGCAAUACUGGCCUUCUAUACAUAAUCACUAAAGGAGAACUCUGACUUCAAACUCUCUUAAAAGUUGGGUACAUGCAGUUAGAGUGUGCAGAGGCACUGAUUUUGAGAUAUGUGUGGUGGGUUUUUCCAAAGUACAUUAGUUUAUAUAAUCCCUUUUCCUGGAGAGCAUUGCACAAUAUUGCACUUUAAAGGAGGCCAAGCAAAGGGGGGGAUGUUUGAGCUGAAAAAUGAAAAAGCUAAGAAAGAACCAUGGUACAGAACUGCAAAUAAAAUAAAGUAAAAUAAAACAAAAAAUAAAACAAACCCUUGAAACCAAGAAUGCACAAGAUGGCUGAAAUUGCAAAUGCUACCAAAUGUCAAAUAAAAUGCAGGCUGUAGUGGUAUUGGAUAAAUAGCACUUUGAUGAGGGAAUUGUCCUAAGUAAAUGGCAUUUAAUUUAAGCACUAGUCACAGAUGACAAGAUGCUGUGUGCAUUGAAAGAGGAUUAGGUAAAUCAACGUAGAACCAAAAGGUCUACCAGAAGGGGGAAGCCCCCCUCCUCUGCACCCAGUUUCGAAAUGAAGCAGGUUGCUGUUGCAGGAGGGACAGAGCUCUCCACCUCUGCUCUACCAAAUCGCCAAUGGGCUGGCAACAUAGGCAGGCCUAUUUACCAGGCUUUAUUAAUAGAGCUCCAUUUUGACCUUGAUAUCAGGCUACAUCUUCACAUGCAGCAGAGUGAGGUAGGAAUGAGAUGGUAGAAUGGACUGUGCUAUGUCAGGUUGUAUGUGACGAAAUCACGCUUUGAAUGAUCCCCUAUGUCAAUUUCCCCUGCAAAUAGAAGGCUAGCAUGGCAGGGAGAGAGGGUUGGGCUUGAAUCUUCCUCCCUAAGCUGCUAUUUUUUAAUAUUUGCAAGGAGAUUUCUAUGGUUUUUAAGAUUCAGUAUUUUAUUUAUUUACUGCACUCAUAUCCCACCCCCUCCUCUAAGGAGCUCAAGGUGACAUGCAUGGUUUGUUGCCUUCCUUUCCAUUUUAUCCAUGUGAGGUAGGUUAGGCUGAAUGACUGUGACUGGCCCAGGGUCACCUAGUGAGUUUCAUGGUUGAGUGAAGAUUUGAACCCGGGUCCUAGUCCAACACACUAAGCACUACAGCACCACUGGCUUUUUACCACUAUAUUCCACUACUGCAAGUACAGUGGUACCUCGGUUUACGAACUUAAUCCGUUCCGGAAGUCCGUUCUUAAACCAAAGCAUUCUUUCCCAUAGCAGCGUGGGAUUCAAUUUACAAAUGGAACACACUCAACAGGAAGUGGAACAUGUUCUGCUUCCAAGGCAAAAUUCACAAACCAAAACACCUACUUCCGGGUUUGCAGCGUUCUUAAUCCAAGUUGUUCAUAAAUUAAGCUGUUCUUAAACCAAGGUACCACUGUAGUCUGAAGUGGUCCUAUCUAUUCUGCCUCUAGACUCCACUACCUCAUUUGUCCAUAUAUCUAGACCCAACCUUAAAAUAUCUCAGGCAAGAUGAAUGAUACACCAUUCAUACAAUAAUUUUGCCUCCCAGUUUUGCUCCUUCCUUCUAUCCAGAAAAUUGAUUGCCAAAGUAUUAAGUAAAAGCAGAUGCCUCUCCAUAAUGCAAGCAAGCAGACAUGCUGGAAUGCUGUUUCAUCGUGUAAAUUAAGACCAUUGGAUUAGAUCAGGCAUGGCCAAACUUUGCCCUCCAGAUGUUUUGGGACUACAACUCCCACAGUCCCUAGCUAACAGGACCAGUGGUCAGGGAUGAUGGGAAUUGUAGCCCCAAAACAUUUGGAGGGCAAAGUAUGUCCAUGCCUGGAUUAGAUGUUGAUGAGGUGUACAUAGGUUCUAGGGGAAGCUACACAGUUGCUGUAAAGUCAUUACAGUUUUUUCAAAGCCCCACCCCGAACAUGCAGAUUCCUUGAUUUUAUUUAGUUCCUUGUAACGUGCUCCUUUAUGUUGCAGUGUUGAUGUGCUAUUGAUUUGGUGGAGUACGUUUGGUAACUCUUUUUUUUUAAUACUAGCAUUUUACUGCAGCGUUAGGCUGCCACAGGAAGUGCACAUUGAGGGCAGCAUAUACAGUUCACUUCACACAGUCAUGUGAGAUGUGGGUGUGUAAGAAAGAGGAGAAAACUGUUUUAAGGGCACCCAGGGAACUUUAUGACUGAAUGAGCAUUUGAACUCCAGUCUCCCCCACCUAACACCCUAACCACCAUAUCCCUUUAUGCUAAGAACAAAGCCCUAUGGAAGCGAUAGACAACCUGUGGCCCUCUGGCCCCAGCCAGCAUGGUCAGUGGUCAGGGAUGAUGGGAACUGUGGUUCAGUAGCACUUGGAAGACCACAGGUUUCCUAUCCCUUCCUUGUGUUCUGCUAUCCUAGUCUAAGAGUCAGAAGGAGGGGGGGAUGACACAGUAAUAGUACAAAAUUAUCAGCGUGGUUUUGCACCAGAGUUACACCAAUGGACCUGUUUUAAAUGACGCUGCUGCACCAUCAUCAUGAGUGGCUCUAGAUGAGUCAGAUGUGGGGGUGGGAGGGGAUUGAAGGGGGCGGGCUAUACUUGUGCUUUUCCAUGUGGAUCAUACAACAAAUUAAAAACAGGGCAGAUUACAACCACAGGAACAGGGUGGGCUUUGAAAACGCACAUCUCGGAUGUCAAAGGCCAGGGUAAAGAGGUGCGUCUUCAGCACACAUGCAGGCCCCCCACUCACAAUUUGCAAGGAGAGAGAGAUCAAAAUAUUUCAGAUAGGUUUCUUGACCUGCCAAACAAUACCGAUGGGCUUUGUAAGGUCAAUCAGAAACCU